rnacentral:tRNA from 1 species
GAGGGUAUAGCUCAGUGGUAGAGCACAUGCGUGGCAUGCACAAGGUCCUGGGUUCAAUCCCCAGUACCUCUA